rnacentral:rRNA from 1 species
GACGAACGCUGGCGGCGUGCCUAAUACAUGCAAGUAGGACGCAGUUGCGAACGGGUGAUUAACGCGUAAGUAACUACCUAUUAGAGGGGGAUAACUAUGGGAAACGAUAGCGAAUACCGCCUACUAGUAGAUUUACCUGCGUGGUAUUAGGUAGUAGGUAGGGUAAGGGCCUACCUAGGCAACGAUACAUAGCCGAGCUGAGCGGGUGAUCGGCCACACCGGGAAUGGGGCACGGCCCAGGCUCCUACGGGAGGCAGCAGUAGGGAAACUUCGGCAAUGGGGGGAACGCUGACCGAGCACCGCCGCGUGAGUGAAGAAGGUUUUCGGAUCGUAAAGCUCUGUUGUUAAGGAAGCGGUACUUAAAGAGAAAGGGACGGCUAACUACGUGCCAGCAGCCGCGGUAAUAC